rnacentral:rRNA from 1 species
GAGAACCUGCGAGAAGGAUCAUU